AUUGAACGCUGGCGGCAGGCCUAACACAUGCAAGUCGAGCGGCAGCGGGACCUUCGGGUUGCCGGCGAGCGGCGGACGGGUGAGUAAUGCCUAGGAAUCUGCCUGUUAGUGGGGGAUAACGCGGGGAAACUCGCGCUAAUACCGCAUACGUCCUACGGGAGAAAGCGGGGGCUCUUCGGACCUCGCGCUAACAGAUGAGCCUAGGUCGGAUUAGCUAGUUGGUGGGGUAAUGGCUCACCAAGGCGACGAUCCGUAACUGGUCUGAGAGGAUGAUCAGUCACACUGGAACUGAGACACGGUCCAGACUCCUGCGGGAGGCAGCAGUGGGGAAUAUUGGACAAUGGGCGAAAGCCUGAUCCAGCCAUGCCGCGUGUGUGAAGAAGGUCUUCGGAUUGUAAAGCACUUUAAGUCGGGAGGAAGGGCUGCAGGUUAAUACCUUGCAGCCUUGACGUUACCGACAGAAUAAGCACCGGCUAACUUCGUGCCAGCCGCCGCUGUAA
rnacentral:rRNA from 1 species